rnacentral:rRNA from 1 species
GUCGAACGAUGAAGCCCAGCUUGCUGGGUGGAUUAGUGGCGAACGGGUGAGUAACACGUGAGUAACCUGCCCUCGACUCCAGGAUAAGCCCGGGAAACUGGGUCUAAUACUGGAUAUUCAAUUUCCAUCGCAUGGUGGUUUUUGGAAAGGAUUCUGGUCGAGGAGGGACUCGCGGCCUAUCAGCUUGUUGGUGAGGUAAUGGCUCACCAAGGCGACGACGGGUAGCCGGCCUGAGAGGGUGACCGGCCACACUGGGACUGAGACACGGCCCAGACUCCUACGGGAGGCAGCAGUGGGGAAUAUUGCACAAUGGGCGAAAGCCUGAUGCAGCGACGCCGCGUGAGGGAUGACGGCCUUCGGGUUGUAAACCUCUUUCAGUAGGGAAGAAGCGAAAGUGACGGUACCUGCAGAAGAAGCGCCGGCUAACUACGUGCCAGCAGCCGCGGUAAUACGUAGGGCGCAAGCGUUAUCCGGAAUUAUUGGGCGUAAAGAGCUCGUAGGCGGUUUGUCGCGUCUGCCGUGAAAGUCCGGGGCUUAACUCCGGAUCUGCGGUGGGUACGGGCAGACUAGAGUGCUGUAGGGGAGACUGGAAUUCCUGGUGUAGCGGUGAAAUGCGCAGAUAUCAGGAGGAACACCGAUGGCGAAGGCAGGUCUCUGGGCAGUAACUGACGCUGAGGAGCGAAAGCAUGGGGAGCGAACAGGAUUAGAUACCCUGGUAGUCCAUGCCGUAAACGUUGGGCACUAGAUGUGGGGGACAUUCCACGUUCUCCGCGUCGUAGCUAACGCAUUAAGUGCCCCGCCUG